rnacentral:tRNA from 1 species
GGUAAAAUGGCUGAAAAUUUAGGCAAUAAAUUGUAAAUUUAUUUAUGAGAAGUAUCUCUUUUACU